CGUAAUCUUCCUUUUAGGCCACCCAAGGGGUGGUAGUAAACAUUUCCUUCGGUCACACCUCUGAUGCAGUGAGCAAGAAGCUGCGAGCACCUGGCUCCACCAAGAACAGCAAUACUGACAGCAGCAGACAACGAGAGAGAGAGCAACGGUUGCUGAAACUGCUAGGCGGCAUCUCGCCGGUGCUCUCAUCGACAGGAGGGAACCUAACGGGAAAAUGUCUGCAGAGCGGGGCCGAAUGGAGAAAGCCAAUGACAGACAGCUCAAUGCCUACCUUGGAAGGCACGGGUUGGAUGAAUGGAGACAAGAUCCCGACCCAACGUUGCUUUGGCUGAAAGCGACCGAUCCCAAACUGAACUGAUUAUAGAAGGGGGUCACGUGGUGGACAGGAAUAAUAUGCCGAAGGCAAAGUUCCUGCUCUCUAUAGCUGUGCAGGGCGAGCGGGCGCUUCAGCUGCUUAAGAAGCAGAACCCGAACAUUCCGAUGAUGGGUGAUGGGUCCGUGCUGAAGGCUGAUAAACCUUUACCCUGUGAUGGGUAGCACGUGAUCAUUCAGAUCAAUAAGAAGGCCGAGGAUCUGCUGUACAAGCGCAACGGAAAGAUAACAUGGGGCUUAGGGAGCGUGUAACUUCGCCUCAAAAAACGCCAUCCGAAAAAAAAGACACACACACGUUGAGAUCAGGUGAAGUAAAAGUUCAGAGAGCUUGACCGACGCCACCCUGAACCUCAACUUGACAGACGAGACGAAGUAGCUGUCCAUGCAGACGGCCCCCUGCGAGUUUGCAACCCUUUAAGUCGAAAAUGGAUUCGGCAAAGCUCCUUCUCGCUCUAGAGGAAGGGUCCGCCUACGCGGCUUUAGUUCAGGAACCGUGUGCAACACGGUCGCAGGACUGAAGUUGCCUAACUACAAUCUAUACGUCCCGACAUUGCACUGACGAUCUAACCGUGAUGGUGCUGGAGAGCUGUGAAGGAUGUAUGCUUCUAGCAUCCUGCUACAUGGCCCACGACGGACUCGGUCCACCGGAAGAGCUGCGGAGAUUGGUGGACAUGGUCUGCUUCUCCAACAAGCAACUUAUUUUUGGUACGGACGCCAACGCCCACCAUAGCGUUUGGGGAAGUCCCGGCGUUAAUGAAAGGGGUCAGUCAGUACUUGAUUUUAUUAUAAAUUAUAAGCUAAGACUAGCCAACAGAGGUGAGGAAUUUACUUAUACAGGUUCCACCUCUCGUAACGUGCUAAAUGCACCCAACUAUAUAUAGACUAGAAUAUAUCUGGUCAAAUUAAACGGAUUUGAAUUUAAAUAAAAUGUUUGAACAUAUGAAUUUAUUAAAUUGUCACGACAGGGUCGUCAAACAAGCUGUGUUCACCAACACUAAACACUGUUAGUGAAUAAUUUUUUCUUAUCGAUAAAUAGCUCUAGCAG